CUGCUUGGCAUGGGCCGAGGUGCCUCCUCCUC
rnacentral:piRNA from 1 species